rnacentral:lncRNA from 1 species
GGCCCGGGAAAGUAAAACUUAGAUAUUCAUUUAUAUCAGAUAUGUAUUUAUUACGGAUUGAGGAGAAGCCAGAACACUCUAAUAGGAAAUGUUCAAUGGACUCUUCAGAAUUAAAUAAACACAUUUGGCAAGUGGGACUCUCGCUAAGAUUCAUCCUAUACAAGACUUUGUUUACAGGUAAACAAUUUGUUCGUAUUAACAUUUUGAGUCUUGCAGACUUGAAGU